rnacentral:rRNA from 1 species
AGUGAACGCUGGCGGUAGGCCUAACACAUGCAAGUCGAACGGCAGCACAGUAAGAGCUUGCUCUUACGGGUGGCGAGUGGCGGACGGGUGAGGAAUACAUCGGAAUCUACUUUUUCGUUGGGGAUAACGUAGGGAAACUUACGCUAAUACCGCAUACGACCUACGGGUGAAAGCAGGGGAUCUUCGGACCUUGCGCGAUUGAAUUAGCCGAUGUCGGAUUAGCUAGUUGGCGGGGUAAAGGCCCACCAAGGCGACGAUCCGUAGCUGGUCUGAGAGGAUGAUCAGACACACUGGAACUGAGACACGGUCCAGACUCCUACGGGAGGCAGCAGUGGGGAAUAUUGGACAAAGGGCGCAAGCCUGAUCCAGCCAUACCGCGUGGGUGAAGAAGGACUUCGGGUUGUAAAGCCCUUUUGUUGGGAAAGAAAAGCAGCAGGUUAAUACCCCGCUGUUCUGACGGUACCAAAAGAAUAAGCACCGGCUAACUUCGUG